rnacentral:rRNA from 1 species
UACGUAGGGUGCGAGCGUUAAUCGGAAUUACUGGGCGUAAAGCGUGCGCAGGCGGUUCGUUAUGUCCGAUGUGAAAGCCCCGAGCUUAACUUGGGAAUGGCAUUGGAAACUGGCGGGCUGGAGUGCGUCAGAGGGGGGUGGAAUUCCACGUGUAGCAGUGAAAUGCGUAGAGAUGUGGAGGAACACCGAUGGCGAAGGCAGCCCCCUGGGCCGACACUGACGCUCAGGCACGAAAGCGUGGGGAGCAAACAGG